CGCCUAUCGUCAUGAUAAAUCAAUCAUAUCAGUAUAUCACCAACCAUCGUACGAUCGUACGUCUUACAGUGGGUGUUAUUUCGUGUCCCGUUCAUUCGUUCCCGUCCGUCAUCCUCCUUUGCGUCCCCUUUGCGUCCUCUUUCCUUCUCUUCCCUUCUAGUUCUACCGCCCCCGACCCUCUUCCCUUCGCGCCCCCCUCUUCAUUUAAAAUAACGGGCCAGACAGAUGAGAUAAUUUUUUUUUUCUUUUUGUUGGGAAUUGAAUAAAGAAACAAACAAGCAAAAUUAUAACAUGCAAAAGCGAUGCAAAAGCGAUGCAAAAGAAAGGUAAUUCAAAAAAGGAAGCGGUGAGGAAAAUUGAAAUUUGGUCAUGAAAUGGAAAUGUCUGAUGGCUGGAAAAUGGAAAUAACUGGAAACAAAGAGGGUGGGGGGAAAAAAAAUAAAUAAAUAAAAUAAAAAAAUGAAAUGAAAAAAGAAAUGAAUUGGCAACUAACUACUUAGAGGUGGUUUGAAUGUAAGCUAAGAAAAGAGAAUAAGAACUGAGAAGAUAAACUUAACCGGAGAUGUUUGCCAGAGUGAUCUUUCAAGUAAAGGUUUUCUUGGGAAAUUUAAUGAAUGAAAUGUAAAGGGGUUUGGGAGAAUGAAGAAAUGAACAUCAAGUGUAGAGCUUGAGAUAGGAAUAUAAUGCAUGGAACGUAAACAGGACAAAUGGCGAAUAGGGGAAAACAGAGAAGACAAGAUGAGGAUCAAAACACACUUAAAAAAUCCCCUUGAGUUAAACAAUACCAAUCGACAAGCCUUUUCCCUUCUCCUUGUGUUUCAACUUGAAGAAAGGGGGGUUCGUCACGGUCCCCGGCCCUUUCACCAUUCCUCGUUACUCCAAUUCAAGAGGGAAAGAAACAAAAUACCCUCGAUCUAAUUACAAUUUUCAAAUUCACAUUCACGGCGGAUGCUCCGCCCGAAUCCGGUCCAGCUCCUCAAACUUCCCUUUCGCUUCCUCGAUCCACACCUCCAAUUUCAUUUCCCCAGCAUCCACCGUUCGGACGGGCACUGUCUUCGCCCGACCACGCGAGCCACGUUUUCCAUCCAUUUUACCCCCUACACCACCAUCGCCUCCUCCCCCUCCUCCGCUGCCGUUCUUGGACGUCAUAUUGUUGUCGAAGGAGUCGUCAUUAGCGGGACUGUGAUCUGUGUGAUUUGAGCAGCCGUUUGCAAUUUUAUUAUUAUUAUUGCUGGUGGAGCUGUUGAGGUCUUCUUUCCUGUAGGGCUCAGCGGCGAUCCAGAGUUGCUCCUCCUUGGUGACGCCUGCGGGGCUGUCAGCGUUGUUGCGCAGGACGAUGUGGAGGGUUGGGGUGUAUUCUUCGUCACGGGGGAGUGGGGUUAGGCGGGCACAGGCUGAGGCGAGUCUGGCCAGGACUGCGCGAAAUUGGGCUUCGAGAUCGAUGGGAAUGGGGUGGGGUUGUGAUCCUGUCAUCGACGGCUGUUCCUGUGGUUGGGUAGUCGUAGAAGUAGUAGUCGAGGAAGAGCGUUCGAAUGGGGUGUGGAUAUCACCGGCGGGAACCUCUGGUAUCUGGGUCAUGUCGAAGGUAUAUCUCUCGAGCGGGCGGUUGGUGCGCGCGGAGAGAAUCACGACAGAGACAGCAGCGACGGAGCAUUUCAGCAGUUGGGCCUCGACGGCGGCACAGGCAUCAGUUACCCAGGAGCAGACUUUGGGAUGCCUUGAUUGCCUCACAGGGUGGUUGAAGUGGCGCACGGGGAGGAAGGUUGGCUGCGGAUAUACGGCGCGGAGAUAUAGAAUCUGGUGGAUGCUGACUGCCAGGAACGAGGCAAUUGCAGACGUCAAGGCAGCAUAAGUAUCUGGUAGCGGGGAUGUGCGGUGGUUGUGAAUGUGGUUGUCGUUAUUCGGGGGAGGAGCCGCACCAGAGCUGGCGGGAAGGUUGCUUACGGUGGACAGACGAGGAUUGCAGUCCCUGGCAAUGCCGUUGUUGGACUGGGCCAUGGCGCCAGAAAGGGGUUUGGGAAUAAAUAGCUCUAGCUCUAGCUCUAGGUUAUUUUAUUUUUUAAGUAUAUAUUUAAUUAAAAAUUGGUUCUUUCAACGACGGGAACGGCGUUGUUUGGUGUGUUGAUCAAGGCGUGAGGUGCGACAACAACGACAGCGGCCAGGACCACGACAACGACAAAGACAGAGGCAAGGAGAAUCGGAAUAGCGGUGGUUGUGCAAGAGAAGCGGGAUGAUAGAUUCGGCCUGUCGUUUAGUCCUAGUACUGAUCAUCUCUCGCGGGCGCGUUCUGCAAACUUGGAUAUUUGGUUCUCGAAAGACAGAUAUAUAGAAGUGAUUUCAAGUUGAUGUUGGUGGACUACCUGGCUGGCUGGCUGGCUGGCUAGAUGGGAUGUUUCCAUGGGCUCUCUGGGGAACAAAAGCCGUAGUAAAAUAGUAGGUGGCAAGUAGAGAAGAGUACGGAGUUACAACGAGGGACGGGGAGGAUCAGACGAUGCACAGCGACAGACGGCAGCAAGAGAAGAAAAACGGAAUGAAGCUAGCAGCCCCGUCGGUUGCAGCAGCGGCGGUGAGAGGAACCAACCGCAAUUGCAAAUUGCAACAGGAGAAGAAAAAAAAAGGAAAAACCGGAAAAGAAAAGAGAAAUGAAGGAAGAAGAAGAAGAAGAAGAAGAAGAAGAAGAAGAAGCAGCAGCAGAAGAAACGAACAGAAAAGUUGCCAAAGAGAGACAAAAGUAAACAGGACCAAAAAAAAUCACGCUGUGUGCAUUCCGUGCAACCCAGGUACCAGGUACAGUAUGGUCAGGUACAGUUACAGCGGCUGAGGAGGUCCCAGUACAUGUCCAUAGCUUCUUCGCUUCUCGGGUGAGAGCGAGGUAAACAGGACAAAAAGAGACAGCAUACGUAGUAUAUAUGAUGAAGAUUGGACGGGAUGCUAUUCUGAGAUUGGAGAUCGAUUUGAUGUUGCUAACACAC
rnacentral:sRNA from 1 species